AUGCCCCAUGAUGCUCAGGUCCGCCGCAUCUCCUGAAUCGUGGGGUCGGUCGGCUGACGAUGUCCGAAUCGGUUCCUCGUGCCGU
rnacentral:ncRNA from 1 species